rnacentral:piRNA from 1 species
CUGCUCUCAAGAAACUCACUAUCUGGUC